CCACGGAGCCGCUCCGGGCUGUGGUGCCUUUACUAGCACAGCAUUACUGACAGCACAAAAGCAAGGCAAGCGAGGUGAAAGCGGGACGCAGGAGAAACAAAACAGCGUAGUUUAAGAUUAAACCCGAGAGAGUUCACACACGAAACACCCUCACGAACAAAAGACUAGGUCUAACUCCAGCUUUCCUGAGCGUGUGUGGAGCGUUUGGGGAGGUUUUGUUUGGCAGAGCAGCGGUGUCUCCCUUCAGGCGUGUGAAGAGUUUAUUGAAGAAACAAGGCGGGUCACCUGGUUUAGGAGCGGAAAGCAACCGAGUCUGGAAAAGGGUCCUGUGCUGUCAGUGGGAUGGUAGAAGGGUGGGGUGGAGUCCAGUUUGAAGGAGCAUGGUGAAGCACCAACCCUUGCAGGUCUAUGAGAGACAGCUGUGUUUGUCAUGUCUGACAGGGAUCUAUGGCUGCCGCUGGAAACGUUACCAGCGGUCACAUGAUGACACCACAAAGUGGGAGUGUUUGUGGUCCUUCAUUCUGUUUGGGACGUUUUUUCUGCUGUUGGUGUGGUUUUACUUUUGGUGGGAAGCACACAAUGACUAUAAUGAAUUUAACUGGUUUUUAUAUAACCGGUCAGGGGAGUGGAGUGACGGAACGGUUCCGAUACUUGCCACAACAGCUGCAGGGUUUACAUAUAUUGCAUUUUUAAUGAUUUUAGCACUGUGUCACAUAGCGGUUGGACAGCAGCUGAACUUGCACUGGCUCCAUAAGAUUGGAGUGACUGCAGCUCUGUUGACUACAGUCAUUGGAGUGAUAUCAGUCAGUCAGAUGUGGGGGGAGGAAUGGGAUAUCAUCUCAAUUUCUCUCCAAGCCACAGGACCGUUCCUGCACAUAGGCGCACUGGCUGCAGUUACAGCUCUGGCCUGGCUGGUGGCUGGACAGGUGGCUCGAGCUGAGAAAACCAGGUUUCAGAUAGUAGUUCUGCUGAUCUACCUUGCUGUGCUCCUGAGCCUCUAUCUGACCCCUCUGUCCAUCUCCUCACCCUGCAUCAUGGAACGGGACAGCCUUAAAGCACGUCCUGAUGUUAUUGGUCACCAAGGAGCUCCUAUGCUGGCUCCAGAGAACACACUGCUCUCAUUCCGGAGGGCGUUGCAGCUGAAUGUGAGCGGGCUGGAGGCUGAGGUGGCCAUCAGCCUAGAUGGAGUGCCCUUCUUGAUAAAGGACCGCACCCUACGGAGGACUACGGAUGUUAGUAGAGCCAUUCCAGAGAGGCAGUAUGAGGAUGCCUCAUUUUUCAACUGGACUGAUCUGCGCUCUCUCAACGCUGGCCUGUGGUUUCUGAAGGAUGACCCGUACUGGACAGUGCAGUACAUGUCAGAACGGGAGCGCUGGCUGGUGGGGAAUCAGACCGUGUGCAGUCUGGAGCAGAUGCUGCAGCUAGCCGCCCGCACAAACCUCUCAGCCCUGUUCACCCUCCGCAGACCUCCACCUGGCCACCCUCACCACUUCAGCUGGGUCAACCUUACACUGGCCACCGUGCUGAGCUCAGGCAUUCCUCAGAACCUGGUGAUGUGGAGUGUGGACUGGGACAGGGAGGUGGUCAGGCAGAAGGCACCAGGCUUCCAACAAAUUUCCACAAAGAAGCAGCUACUGGAGACUCUCCAUCAGAAUGGCAUCAGCAGACUCCUGCUGCGCUACAACCAGGCCACUGCUCGAGAUGUGCGGAUGUAUGCAGCUGGUAACGUGAGCAUGACUCUGUACACUGUGAAUGAGCCAUGGCUUUACUCUCUGCUGUGGUGCAGCGGAGUGCAGUCCGUCUCAUCUGAGGCCCCGCAGGUCCUCAAAAAAGUGCUGUCUCCCCUUUGGCUAAUGAGUCCAGAUGAGUACUGUCUGAUUUGGGUGGCCACGGAUCUUGUCUCCUUCGCUUUAGUGCUGGGGAUUUUCAUAUUCCAGAACUAUCACAUGAUCAGGUGGAGGAUGAGUGGUAUGCGUAGCUACAACCCGGAACAGAUCAUGCUAAGCGCUGCUGUCAGGAGGUCCAGCCGAGAUGUCAACAUCAUGAAGGAGAAGCUCAUCUUCUCUGGUCAGCCGCAGUAGCAGCUUAACCCUGGGUGUGAUCCUUCCACUGUCUCAUGUCAUCUCAUCCCAUUCCAUCCCUCCCUCUCCCUGCCUCUCACUGCCUGCUGCCCUCCACCUCUCCUCCUCUCCACCCACCGCUGGCAUCCUCCACCUUCAAUCAUAGCUCAUAAAUGGCUUUCGUCUUGAUAGACAUGCUAACGCUGGCUUGUUAAUGAGGUAAGCAAUGAGGUCAGCAAUGAGGAAAAUGGAUUUGACUACUACAAUCAAGGCAUUAACUGACCCCAUGGACUCUCCAGAGUGUCUGCGUGAAAAAAACACAACUUGGAUGAAAUGUCCAACUUGUUUACUUUUGAUUUUACUGCUUUUUCCUUUCUCCUCAGUGCACCCAGUUCCAUUUUUGGUGUUCUCCUGCGAGCUACUGAUUUGUAACGUAUUGCUUUAGCGAUUCUACUGUAUUGCUGAAGGGACAUGUGUGUAUAUUCUGUAUAGAGGUUUCUUUUUUAACUGUUAAAUUGCUUAUAAUGAAGUAGCUAGGUAAACGAGGACGAAGCCUCAAACAUUUUACCAAAUCUGUGGCCUCUGCCCCCCUCAGUGCUCAGGGUGGCUGGAACGUCCAUUGUUUGCUUCUGACCGCAAGCGCAUGCCUGUAAUGAAAGAGUAUCUUAAUGAACUCUCUCUUAAAAAUAAUGUCCAAUAACCAGGAACCGAGGAGUAUUUGUAGAGAAAACUGUGUCUGUAGGUUUUACUUGGGCAUGAUUUUAACAGUAUACUGCCUUCUGUUAGGGCUGAAGCAACUAACAAAUCUCCAAGUGUGUUUACAGAGUGCCUGCCUUUCUCCUUUGUGUGUACUAUUUACAUUAUGUGACUAUUCAUUGGACGUUUUCAUAUAUGCCCCUCUUGUCAUUUUCCAUUUUAAAGAAUCAACUGACUUUUUAUAGUACUGUUCAUGCCUUUCAGAAAUAAAAGAACAGCUUUUUGUUUUUUGAAUAUACAAGAAAGAUAAAGCUGAGGAUGUGAGAAGCAUGCAUGAUGCAAUCUUCUUUACUGUAAAUCAUAAGUGGAAGGUUGCCAUAAAAAGUGUUAGCUUUAAUGAGUAGUUAGACACUGAAUGCAGUGAAACUGGAGUUGAGUUUCAGUGCUGUGUGCAAUACUACUUGAACUCAUGUACUGGCCUAGAAUCAAAAAUGAUAUUUAUAUAUUGUAUAGUGUGGAAUAUUGUCAUGUGAUCAUUGUAAUUCAUGUGCUGUCAGGAGUCUAUGAACUAUGAAAGGUGUCCUGUGGGACUGACCACUAGAGCAGUGGUCAUACCUCUAGGACCAAGGUCAUAAUGUUAGAUGAAACGGUUUGUUAAUAAUAUAAAUGCUUUCAUUGACACACAACAGACUCUGAACAAACAGUGCUACGUCAUGUUUUUAUUUUGUAUGCUGGAUGUCAGUCAAUAAAAAAUCUUUACAACUGUU